AUGAAAAAUGCAAAAAUGAGAGCCAGGAACGAUCCACAAGUCAAUUGUCAGCAUGAAUAAUAAUCUUUUGCCCUGAUAACCACUGUAACUAAUGAGGAUUACAGUGAAUACUAUGUGACAGGACUAGAUGACUGUACUUGCCGGCUGCUGCGAGGUUGGCGUGCGUGCCAAACCUCACUUUGAUUGUCCGAUACCGGCAGUCCGUCGGUCCCCAGAUCGUGAAGGCUGGAUGAGGAGGGGAGCUGUUCUAUCUGCUGACAGUUGGCUGUUCUCCGUAUCCUGCUCGCUCUCAAACUGUCGGCUUGUCUUACGCGUUUCGUGGGUGUCAGCCCCACUUCCUCAGAGACAUGAUAGAAUUCUAUCUGAACGUGCAUCUUAUAUACAAAACUAAUGUGUAACAAAUAAAACUAUUUUUACAUGUGUGGCUUAUUGUUACUGUUG